CACUUUUCUCAUUUAAAAAAUUUCUCAAUUCUCUCCAUCCUUUUAGAAGGAAAGCAGAGUUGAAAUUGUUCUCUCCGUAGCUAUCCACCUUGAAUGUUCUGCCAACGCCAUGACUCAUUCCAAAAUCAAAGGUGUUUUCAUCCUAUUUCACAAUAUGGUAUCAGAGCCUUCAGCCAUGGAUAUGGCUUAGUCUUAGCUGGGAACGCAAAGUUGAAGACGACAAGCUACAAUGAAGGCUGAAUUGGACAACACCUUUCCGAAGAAACAUGGUUAUAAUCAUCCUCUAUUUUUUUAGUACAGCAGAUACUUCAGGAGUUAUUUUAAUCUCCAUUCAGUUAACGGGAUCAGAAAACUAUUCUGUAUGGAGUCGAUCGAUGCGCAUUGCGAUACUUGGCAGAAAUAAGUUGGGUCUAAUUGAUGGAAAGUGCAAAAAAGCAAAUUUUGGUCCUAAUCUAGCUGAUCUGUGGGAAAGGUGCAAUGCUAUUGUCCUUUCAUGGAUUAUGAAUUAUGUUUCGAAGGAGCUGUUAGGGGGAAUUGUCUAUUCUUCUGAUGCAUGUGCUGUUUGGAAUGAUCUCAAGGAGUAAUUUGAUAAAGCUGAUGGUUCGCGCAUUUUUCAAUUGUACAGAGAAAUUGCAACUACGACACAAGGAUGUGAUUAUGCAAAAUCAAGGGAAUUUGGUGAAUUUAUGACGAGGCAAAAGCUUCUGCAAUUCUUAAUGGGUCUCAACAAAACAUAUGAACAAUCACGCACUCAAAUUCUUAUGCUCAUUCCCCUUCCUUCCGUUAAUCAGGCAUACUUUAUGAUGAUUGAUUGAAAGAAAGAGCCAAAAGAUGUUAACUAAUUCUACAACCACAACUACAAAUCUGGAGAUAGCUGCCUACAUAAAUGCUAAACAUCCUACUAACAAUAAGUUUCAGCAAAAUUGGAACCCUAAUCGGAGUGCAAAAUGUGAAUACUGCAAAUUGAUGGGACAUGUUUCGGAUGACUGCUAUCGAUUGCAUGGCUAUCCUUCGGAUUUCAAAUUCAAUAGAAGUUCUGGGAAUAACAAUGGUUCAUACAUGAGGGGAGGUGAGAGUAAAGAAAAUUCACCCAAUGUGAGAAUUUCUCAUGGCAGGGGUCAACACAAAGCAGCUACAUAUGUGGACAAUUACAAUAACUCAGGACAUAAUCUUCACAGGAAUGCAAAGUGCUAUGAAAAUGGGAGAAGUGCACAAUAUUUUGGUGGAGAAUCCAGUAAGAUGUCUGAAAGUCACAACUACUUACAACAAUAAUAUGGUGAUAUGGUGCAACACAUAAAUAAUCCUCAUCAUUAUUCUCAGUUUAAGAAGAUCAUUGACAAAGACAAUACAGUUGAUAGUUCAGCUCUCUUAACUGAACACACCGACUCAGCAAACAUGGGAGGUAAUAUGUUUACAUCAUCUGUGGUUGAUGCUCAGAUUACAGAUGACUAACUGCAAUAGACAUUGAGGACGUGAGAAGGGAGGUGAAUAUAUUAAGAUCCUUGAUAGGACAUAACCAUUUAGUAAAAUUUUAUAAUUCAUAUGAAGACCACAACAAUGUCUACAUAGUCAUGGAGUAAGCUUCGUCACUCAACUCCCAUCAUAUUUACAUUUGCAAUGGAGUUCAAUCUCAAACUUAGAUUAAGAGGAUACUUUGUUGGUUAUCAACCAAAGUUUUAAGUAGCAUGGCAGUUUAUGUAUUUAUGUGGAAAAGUAUCGCUAAAGAAUCUAAUUUUAGAUGUUUUUAAAGUUGUUGAUUUUAGGAAAACUGAAGUUUAUUCAGUACUCUUGCUUGAGAAUGAGUUCACAUUGUUCUUGUUACAGUAAGUAUUGCACUUGAAUUAGCUCUUUUAGCAAUAGAAGUUCUUGGUGGAAUCUCCUUUGCUAUUCUUGGUAAACUAUCUAUAGAAGAUGUUGAUGCAAUAACUGGUGCAUGUGUUCUCAAAAGCACUCCUGGGGGAGAGUGGGUUUUUUCUGGACUUUAGGUCAUCUUGUGACCUGUACUUUGAUUUAUGUGAUUUAUGCCCCAUAUAAGGCGUAAAGAUGGCAAGGAGUUCUUUCCUAAAAGAGUAUUUAACACUUCUCCAACCCUCCGAAGACACGAUCAAUAGGGCGCUAAUCUAAUGCAGUGAAGGAGUCCAAUCAUUGUUGUUGUAUUGGGGAACCUGAAAUGGAAUCGGUUCAAGAACCAACCACAAAAAUUUCCACCAAUUGAUAUUUCUCGUAUUUUAAGAGCUUUACUGAAGCUAUUUGAAGUGACUCUACUCGAAAGUUGUCUGGGAUGGGUCCCUCAACCCAAUAGUUCGCUAGGGCGGUGCUCAGAUCAACACAAAUAAAAGAAGAAAAAACCUGUAUGCCCCCCUGAUCAUGCCUUCAAGAGUGUAUUGUACGCAGUCUUACCUUGCAUUAUACUAAUAAUAUAAAAAAUCAAAUGCUUAGGAACAACAUCAUUGGAAUGUGUCUUCUUAUUUGCCUCGGCCUGUAAGAAUGAGACUCCUACACUAUUGGCAAUCCAAGCCUGAAAAAUGCAUAUAUUGAUUGUUACUAUACUCAAAAUAUUUCCUUUUCUAGCCUCCUUUUGUUUUUUGGACAAGCAGAAGUUAAUGACUUGACUAAGUAAGUACCUUCUUUUUCUCAUCUUAUCUUAGAGGCUCCUUGGGUUUUGGUGAGGAAGCACUGCAAUCUCUUCCAGGCAAAAUUAGAUCAUAGGAAAAUAAAUCAUUCGUUGGUGACGGGAUUGCAGUAGAGCCUUUUAAUCCAAAUAAAGAGUGAGAAGAAGGUUAUUUUGAUGCAUCAGGAAACUAUGUUGAAUAUAUAAAUGAAUGAGAUAAAGGUGGGAGUAUUGCAUCAAAUAUUGUCUACCUCAGACCCCAAUCCUUAUCUUCUUUAUGGGAAGAGUGCUAUAGAGAUAUCAAAUGAAGAUGAAAUUAGCCUUUAAUUAGCUUCCCCAAGCUUUUAAGGAUAUAGGCAUUUGGCAGCUAAAUAUAUUCUUCCAUUUGUGUGAUGCUUGUCGGUGAAUAUCCUGAUGUGCAAUUUUAAUGAGCCUACAUAUAUUAGUUUGCCACGGGUUCACUUUUGUAUGAAGUUCAAUGGUACCAAAUGCCUUGCUUUCUCUCUGUUUA